rnacentral:lncRNA from 1 species
AUGGAGUCUGCCAAAACAGCAAAGAGAGAAGUAAAAGUACAUGGAUCUGAGCAAAAUCCGAAGUUAAAAGGACCUGAAAAGAAGGAAGUAAAAGCAACAAAGGCAACAGAACAAGAUAAACCAAAGACGAAACAUGGAAAUCCUGAAAAAGAGAAGGAAUUGAAAUCUCCAGCAGCUACAAAAGAUAAAGCACAUGCUAAAGAAAAGGAAGAAAAGAAUCCUACAUUUUUAAAAGAAAAAGAUUCUCUGAAAGGAAAAAAUCCCAAGAAUCCAGAGAGUUCAAGGGAAAAAGAGACCAGUAAAAGAAAAGAGGUGAAGCCUCCAGCAGCCUUAAAAGAAAAGGACUCUUCAAAAGGAAAAGAUAUUAAGGCUUCAAGUAAUACUAAGGAAAAAGUUGCAGUGAAAAAGGAGGGGGAGAAGAAAGGGAAGAGCACAUGAAAACAUCAGAAGCUGAGGAUGAUAUUGAGAGGAAGCUCUUCAGGUCUUUCACCACACGUGCCUAAAGAUGAAAUGCAUUAAUGCAGCAGAUGUACCUCAUCCACAUUUGACUGAAAUUUUAUUCUUUCCAGCUCCGUCGAUAGAAGAUUUGUCUUGCUGGGAUUUUAAGACUUAUAGUACUUUAAAUAUAUAAGCUUUCAGUGCUACCAUGCAAGAGUGCUGUUUCAACAAGACUUAUAUUUCCCAGUGCAUUUCUGUUGUUUAAGUGACAAGCUGGGAAACAGAGAAAGAUCGGACCAUUACUGAUGAUCCCUGAAGGCAUGCAUCUCAGAUUGAAAUUGAAGUAAUUCCUCUCAUUAAAAAGCAUUUAAAAAUGUUGGAAAUGUCUGUACUUCUUUGCUACUUCUACUAUAUUUCCAUCAUGCUCAAGUUUCUCCCCUCCUCUGUCUGGACUACUUUUUGGUUUUCCCUGCUAUAUAAAGUACCCUUGAACUGCCAGUUAAAAAUAAGUCUUAAAAAACAAGUUGCUCUAGACAACAACAGCAAAAUCCCCCAAAACCAAGUGUCAGCUCAUUUUUCCCUAUACAGCCCAAAGGCAUAAAGCAAACCAAACAGCAAGGACACAAACAUGCUAACUGUAUGAAAAGUAGAUAGAUAUCUUGGGCCAGGCUGCUUUAGUACUGGAAAUAACUGUGAGAAAGAACUGUGAGAGCAGCCUGACAACUUUUUUUAGUGGAAAGAGGCAAUAUGAAGAUCAGUCUGUUGAAGUGAAUACCCUACAGGCUCUAAUACCAGUGAUUAACUAUUAAUGAUAAGAGCAAAGCAUGGAAUUUUAGGAAGGUUUGUCUUAAUCAUUUACCCUAUUAUCAUCCUUCAGCCACUGCUGAAACAUUGAUCCAAGGAAGUCUGUGGAGCUGCACAGACUCAAACGAGCACUCCCUGACCAUGAAUAAGCAUUAGACCACAGCUGGAAGCUCAAGCUCUCUGCUUCUCUUCAAAC